UUUGGGGUAAUCUAGGUAAUAUCUAGAUUGACACUGUGGGUGAGAGCAGCAUGUGGCUGAGGUUGUAAUGAACAAAUGAACAUGUGUUUAUGUGAAGCUGGGGGCUCUGCUAUGGAUCAGUGUGAGGACAGAGAAGCAGGGGCCCAUACCUCUCAAACCACGCCUUAUGGGGAACAUGACAGCCUGAUCAAAGCUCAGAGGUUAGACGAAGAUCUUGCACUGUUACUGAUUCUUCUCCAUGUCACAGCGAAGCUCUAUACUAUCAUUAAACAAACCUAAAAGCUGUCUGUCUAUGUCUGUAUGUGAAAGCCCUGAGCAGCAACACAGUCAAGACGAUGCUGAACCAAGACUGGGCCCAACCCUGUCUUCUGUGAAGAAACUACGGUCAUUGUUUGAAUCUCCUGGAUUUCAAGACGGACAAAAAUCAUCUGAUCUAACGUGAGAAUUUAAAAAGUGAACAACAAACUGUCCUCAAAGAGUUCAGAGAUCACAAGAGGAAAAAUCUGUCCCUCUGAACGACAUUUUCCUCUUCUCAGAGUAAUAAUUUAAGGGAAAAUUUACUGCAAAUGGUUGACAUUUACUUUAUGUUAAUGUUGAAGCCCAGAAAACCUGCACAGAUCAGACUAUGCUGGACCAGAAACUAGAAAUGAACCUGCUUCAAGCUCUGUGGCCAUGAAGAGUGACUGGUCUGCAGAUCAUUUUACCAACACCGAGGACGGAUAUCAGUCGGAUUAUCAAAAGUAAUCAUUUCUACUCGUUCAGCUUAAAAAGAUUCAGUUCUUUUGAAAGUGUCAGCACAAAAAUGUUUAUAUUUUUUAAUGCCUAGAAGAUUUUCAGUGUUUGUUUGUUUGUUCAUCGGUGUUUGUUUCUGUCAGUGUUCAGCAGGAGGGACCGGACUCUCCUGGGCCUGAACUCAGCUGUAUGUCAUUGAGGGCUGGGUCUCAGAAACGUUCUAUUCACGAUAAGGAAGGACAUCAGCCUUAUUUCCUCAAGUAAUAAUUUAUAUCAGUAUUGAUUUUUUACAUUAACAUUAAGUUUUGAUCAUAGACUAAGGUGACCAGAUUUCUGUAGUGAAAUCAAGGGGCAUUAGGGGCAGACAACAUCUCGGUACCAUUUAGUAGCAGCCGCGCCCCUUGAAAUAACCCCCGUAAGAACUGUUGUUCAGGACUGCUUACUUGUGCUUCCUACCCAUUCGGCUACUUUAAUAAGUGUUCUUCUAGCCUACUCGCAACAUUUUUGUUCUCAUUCAUGAAACGCUUAAAUCUGGGACAUUUUCGGAGACAGCUUUUGCCGGGGACAGGUCAUCCAAUUCUGGGACUGUCCCCGGAAAUCGGGGACGUCUGGUCACCUUAUCAUAGACUGCAUAUAGUAUGGAAAACUUGACUCCGCCUCCUUUUAUUGUACAAAUUUAACGCCAAAAAGUUAAAAUUUUGCUCGAGGAGGCGGGGUUUAUGACCUAUACUGCUACCAGUCACUAGGGGGUGCUGUUCUCUGGAGGCCUCACCCAGUGAGGAGGCAGACGACGUCCAUUCUAUAUAUAGUCAAUAGUUUCAAUCAAAAAUAAACUACAUGUGUUGUAGAAAGUUUCAGUGCUCAUGUUAAUCAGUUUUUGUUUCUGUCAGUGUUAAACAAGAGGGACCAGACUCACCGCGACCUGAAUUCAGCUGUGCGUCCGUAAAGAGCAGCUGGUCUAUGGACAAACAUGUCGAUCUCAACGCUGGAGAGACUUCUGAUCAUCAAAAGUAAGACUUUCAAAAAUUAAACUUAAAAUUAAAUUAAGUUUGUUUUAUUUCAAACUCUCCAGAUUCACCCAAACUGUGAAAAGAGUGUUGUCUGUGAGUUUGAUCAUUUUUCAGAGUUUACGUUUUGUUUGGUUUGGAUCAUACCACAGCAGUUCACAACAGUUUCAUGUGUCAUUCGUGUUUUGUCCAUUUGUGCAAAGAGUAACUUUGUUCUCUAUCUCUUAUCACAAAUCUUUAUAAAAUAAACUACAUGUGUUGUAGAAAGUUUCAGCGCUUAUGUUUUAUCAAUCAGUUUUUGUUUCUGUCAGUGUUAAACAAGAGGGACCAGACUCACCGCUUCCUGAAUUCAGCUGUACGUCCGUAAAGAGCAGCUGGUCCAUGGACAAGCAUGUCGAUCUCAACGCUGGAGAGACUUCUGAUCAUCAAAAGUAAGACUUUCAAAAAUUAAACUUAAAACUAAACUAAGUUUGUUUUAUUUCAAACUCUCCAGAUUCACCCAAACUGUGAAAAGAGUGUUGUCUGUGAGUUUGAUCAUUUUUCAGAGUUUACAUUCUGUUUGUUUUGGAUACCACAGCAGUUCACAACAGUUUCAUGUGUCAUUCGUGUUUUGUCCAUUUGUGCAAAGAGCAACUUUGUUCUCUAUCUCUUUUCAAAAAUCGUUAUUUUUUUCACCGAAAAUACUCAGCUAAGUAGUGACAUGCUCCAUAUUCCUACUCCAAACAUAGCUUUAUAAUUUAUUGUUGCCACGAACAGCUCUCGCCACCUUGUGGCCAACUGCAGUAACACUUUAACCUAACUUCCCAUCAUUGAGAAAAAUGACUGUAUGGCAAAGACAUAAUAAGCAUUGUCUCAAAACAUAUUAAUAAUAUAGAAUAGGCUACACGUAUUGAUAGAUCCCUGGCCACAACACAGUCCCACUUGAAAGGAACACACAUUUAUUGAUUAUAUUCAAAAAACGAUUCUGAAUUUGACAUUGAAGUUCUUGCUGCUGUCAGUUUGGGGAAGUUCAUAAUAGGAUCUGGCGUGGCUCCCGGGCAUGAAAAACCCCUUCAGGGCCCUAUGGAUGUUGUUUCCCUCUCAUAAAAAAUCCUGAUGUACAAAUCCUCAUGCCCAGCAAGCAGCUACCAAGAGACUCAUAUCAUUGCCGCAUGCAACACCAAAUCAUUUGUCCUGCUCAGUCUUCUUUCAAAUGCAACAUGCAUUAAAUCAUUGAGGUUGAAUGAUUUGUUCUCACAGUGUUCAGCAGCAGAGAUCUUGGGUUCCUAUUGGUCAAGCAGACAUGGACUCCAUAUUUACGGUGUGUAAAUGUACAAAUUCUGCUACUUCUGAUAUAUGUACAUGUAAAUAUGUACGUAUCUAUACGUAUGUUGGAAUUUCUCAGAAUUCUGUCCUAAUAACACUGCAAAUAUCGCUGCCUGAGUUAUGUUCACACUCAGUGUUUGAUUAAAUUAAACUGUACAUUUCCAACCUGUACAGAGUUUGAGGUCAGAAAUGAUCUUGUGUUAAUUUCUUUGAGUUCAAGUUUACAUUUUGUUCUGUUGCAGAUGCUUGAGAAGAAAAUUAUCACUUUUGUAAAGAAUGAGUUGAAGAAGAUCCAGGCAGUCCUUGGUCCAGAUUACCCAGAAUGCUUAGAGAGUCAGAGAGAGGAUGAGAAUGAAGAGCAGAGGAGAAGCAGAGAGGCGUUUAUGAAGAUCACUCUGCACUUCCUGAGAAGAAUGGAAUACAGAGAGCUGGCUGAUUGUCUGCAGAGCAGUAAGAAGGUUUAAACAUUUAAGAUGCUGGGAAGAGGACACUGGGGACACGGAAGAAGUUUUAUUUAAAACUUUUAAAACUCUGCUGUUUAUAUAAUGUACACAUCUAUGAACUGUAACCAGUAUUCCUGACUGAUGUGCAGAAGAGAUUUCAGAGAAACAGAAAAUCAAACCUAAUAUCUUAAAGUUUAAAUUCAUCAGACUGAUUGUCACCUUAGCUUCUUAAUCACAUUAUUUUUUGUUCAUCUAGGAACUGUUGCCCCAGAGUGCCAACACAAACUGAAGUCUAACCUGAAGGAGAAGUUCCAGUGUGUGUUUGAGGGGAUUGCUAAAGCUGGAAAUCCAACCCUUCUGAACCAGAUCUACACAGAGCUCUACGUCACAGAGGGAGGGACUGGAGAGGUCAACGAUGAACAUGAGGUCAGACAGAUUGAAACCACGGCCAGGAAACCCCAGAGAACAUAUACCACCAUCAGACAGAAGGACAUCUUUAACACCCAACCUGGAAGAGAUGAACCAAUCAGGACAGUGAUGACUAAGGGAGUGGCUGGUAUUGGGAAAACCGUCUUAACACAGAAGUUCACUCUGGACUGGGCUGAAGGCAAAGCCAACCAGGACAUCCAGUUCAUAUUUCCCUUUACUUUCAGAGAGCUGAAUUUGGUACAAGGGAAAAAGUUCAGUUUGGUGGAACUUGUUCAUCACUUCUUCACUGAAACCAAAGACGCAGGAAUCUGCAGGUUUGAAGAGUUCCAGGUUGUGUUCAUCUUUGAUGGUCUGGAUGAGUGUCGACUUCCACUGGACUUCAACAAGAAUAAGACUGUGACUGAUGUUACAGAGUUCACUUCAGUGGAUGUGCUCCUGACAAACCUCAUCAAGGGGAACCUGCUCCCCUCUGCUCGCCUCUGGAUAACCACAAGACCUGCAGCAGCCAAUCAGAUCCCUCCUGAAUGUGUCGACAUGGUGACAGAGGUUAAAGGAUUCAAUGACCUUCAGAAGGAAAACUACUUCAGGAAGAGAUUCAGGGAUGAGGAGCAGGCCAACAAAAUCAUCUCCCACAUCAAGACAUCUCGAAGCCUCCACAUCAUGUGCCACAUCCCAGUCUUCUGCUGGAUCACUGCUACAGUUCUAGAAGACGUUCUGAAGACCGAAGAGAGAGGAGAGCUGCCCAAGACCCUGACUGAGAUGUACAUCCACUUCCUGGUGGUUCAGUCCAAACUGAGGAAUGUUAAAUAUCAUGGAGGAGCAGAGACUGACCCACACUGGAACAAAAAGAACAGGAAGAUGAUCAAGUCCCUGGGUAAACUGGCUUUUGAGCAUCUGCACAAAGGAAACCUGAUCUUCUAUGAAUCAGACCUGCUAGAGUGUGGCAUUAAUAUCAGAGCUGCUUCAGUUUACUCAGGAGUGUUCACACAGAUCUUUAAAGAGGAGAGAGGACUGUACCAGGACAAGGUGUUCUGCUUUGUCCACCUGAGUGUUCAGGAGUUUCUGGCUGCUCUUCAUGUUCACCUGACCUUUGUCAACUCUAGUGUCAACCAGGCAGAGGAGGAACAGACAACAUCCCCAACCUUCACUGACCCAACAUCCAUAAAUGAACUUUCGCGUCUCCAUCGAAUUGCUGUGGAUGACGCCUUGCAGAGUCCAAAUGGACACCUGGACUUGUUUCUUCGCUUCCUCUUGGGUCUUUCACUGCAGACCAAUCAGACUCUCCUGAGGGGUCUGCUGAAAAUAACAGAAAGUAGCUCUCAGACUAAUCAGGACACAGUUCAGUACAUCAAGGAGAAGC